UGAAGUCCAACACAACCAGAAGGCAGUGACCUGAAAAAGACUGAUUGAGUUACCACUGCUAGUGAAUUUACUUCCAAGGACAUUGCAAACAACUGCAGAGUUAAUGCUAAUAUUUUGUCUGGUACCCUAGAAGAAUUUCAUGCAUGGCAAUCUUCCCUCUAUGAACUCCAUGAUGUGCUUAAUGCAUG
rnacentral:lncRNA from 1 species